UAGGGAAUCUUGCGCAAUGGAGGAAACUCUGACGCAGCGACACCGCGUGAGUGAUGAAGGCCUUCGGGUUGUAAAGCUCUGUGAUAGGGGAAAAUGAUGAUGGUACCCUAUCAGAAAGGACCGGCUAACUUCGUGCCAGCAGCCGCGGUAAUACGAGGGGUCCAAGCGUUGUUCGGAAUUACUGGGCGUAAAGCGGGUGUAGGUGGCCAAAUAAGUCACAUGUGAAAGCCCAGGGCUCAACCCUGGAAGUGCAUGUGAUACUGCUUGGCUUGAGUACGGGAGAGGGAAGUAGAAUACCUGGUGUAGUGGUGAAAUACGUAGAUAUCAGGUGGAAUUUCGGUGGCGAAGGCGGCUUCCUGGCCCAGUACUGACACUCAGACCCGAAAGCGUGGGUAGCAAA
rnacentral:rRNA from 1 species